rnacentral:rRNA from 1 species
UGGGGAAUCUUGCGCAAUGGGCGAAAGCCUGACGCAGCGACGCCGCGUGUGCGAUGAAGGUCUUCGGAUCGUAAAGCACUGUCGCGAGGGAAAAAACCGCAAGGUUGAUGGUACCUCGAAAGGAAGCACCGGCUAACUCUGUGCCAGCAGCCGCGGUAAUACAGAGGGUGCGAGCGUUGUUCGGAAUUAUUGGGCGUAAAGCGCUUGUAGGCGGCUUGUUAAGUCGCGUGUGAAAUCUCCCGGCUCAACCGGGAAAGUGCGCGCGAAACUGGCGAGCUUGAGUGCUGGAGAGGGUGGCGGAAUUCCCGGUGUAGAGGUGAAAUUCGUAGAUAUCGGGAGGAACACCAGAGGCGAAGGCGGCCACCUGGACAGACACUGACGCUGAGAAGCGAAAGCGUGGGGAGCAAACA